rnacentral:rRNA from 1 species
CCCUAUGGGGCGCAGCAGGAUUUCGAGAAUGGCCCGAUCUCCCACCGGCAUCAGGGGUUUGGGUAAAACAUAGGUAUAGGGCGCGAGACGCGUGCCCUUGCCGCCAGCCAAAAUUACUGCUUUCAUAAAAGCUCCCCUUGAUUUGGAUAAAGGAUUGUCUCUAAAUUAUAACCGUCAAUACCCAAUCGGCUCAAACAUUGGUGGUUUUGAACUCAUUAACAAUGAGCCCAGCGGGACUACACCCCGUAAACCGAGGCAUUGUAGAGCUCCGGGUGCUGCCGCAUCCAGGCGAUGGUUUGGCGCAGGCCUGAUUCGAGGCUGACCGUUGGAGCCCAAUCGAGCAGGGAUUUAGCCUUGCUGUUAUUCGAAAUGAGGCGCAUUACCUCGGAAUUGGCGGGGGGGC